rnacentral:rRNA from 1 species
AUUGAACGCUGGCGGCAGGCCUAACACAUGCAAGUCGAGCGGGGUUUUCGGACCUAGCGGCGGACGGGUGAGUAAUGCGUAGGAAGCUGCCCGAUAGAGGGGGAUACCAGUUGGAAACGACUGUUAAUACCGCAUAAUGUCUACGGACCAAAGUGUGGGACCUUCGGGCCACAUGCUAUCGGAUGCGCCUACGUGGGAUUAGCUAGUUGGUGAGGUAAUGGCUCACCAAGGCGACGAUCUCUAGCUGGUUGGAGAGGUUGAUCAGCCACACUGGAAAUGAGACACGGUCCGGACGCCUACGGGAGCCAGCAGUGGGGAAUAUUGUACAAUGGUCGCAAGCCUGAUCCAGCCAUGCCGCGUGUGUGAAGAAGGCAUUCGGGUCGUAAAGCACUUUCAGCAAGGAGGAAGGGGUUGUAGUUAAUAGCUGCAACCUUUGACGUUACUCGCAGAAGAAGCACCGGCUAACUCUGUGCCAGCCGCCGCCGUAACAC